rnacentral:rRNA from 1 species
CAUGCCGUAAACGAUGAAUGCUAGGUGUUGGAAGGUUUCCGCCUUUCAGUGCCGCAGCUAACGCAUUAAGCAUUCCGCCUGGGGAGUACGACCGCAAGGUUGAAACUCAAAGGAAUUGACGGGGACCCGCACAAGCGGUGGAGCAUGUGGUUUAAUUCGAUGCUACGCGAAGAACCUUACCAGGACUUGACAUCUUCUGCCAAUCUAAGAGAUUAGACGUUCCCUUCGGGGACAGAAUGACAGGUGG